CUACGGGAAACAGCGCGCCGGAAGUCGGGGAGAAGGGCGGAAGCGGCUGAGGGCAAAAUGCAAAAUGGCAGCAGCGGCGUCAACGAAGCUGCCGCGAGAGGGGAGAUGUCCCUUCAGCAGUGCACCAUACAAGGUGCAGGGGAGAGAGAGGUGAUGGAUGACAUCAUCUUCCGAAGUGACACUGUCCUAUCUGAUGUCCACCUACACACCCCAAGCAAAAGGCAUUUAAUGGUCAGGCUGAAUGCUGUCGGACAGCCAGUGUUUCUCUCACAGUUCAAAUUCCUUUUGGACAAAAGCAAUCAGAAGACUGAGAGGGAAGUGAGUGGCUUUGAAAAAGAAAACUUUAAACACCAGGACAAACGUGGAGAGGGAUUAGAUGUGGAGGAUCCUGCUGAUGACCACGUUACUCUGAAAAGCACUAACAAGGAAGAGAACUCUUUGAAAGGAAUUCAAGCUUUGUUAGACAAAGAUGGGGAUUUGGAGGUUGUCCGGAAGCCUCCGUUACUUGAUGCAGAAGCUGAAGAUCUUUCAAGGGACAAAGUGUGCCCCAUCAUUUUGAUGAAAGGUGGAGAAGUCUUGGAAGAACAAGAGCAAGAAAACAAUUGCUAUGAUAUUAUUAAAAUAGAGCACGCCAUGGCAACCCCUUUAGAGGAUGUUGGCAAACAGGUCUGGCGAGGAGCCUUCUUACUUGCAGACUACAUCCUCUCCAAGCAAGAUUUCUUUAAGGACUGCACAGUGCUGGAGCUUGGGGGCGGCACCGGAAUUGUCAGUAUCAUCAUGGCAAAGGCAGCCAAGGCCAUUUAUUGCACAGAUAUUGGUGAAGAUCUCCUGGAAAUGUGUGAACGAAAUAUUACAUUAAACAAGCACCUUACUGAGCCAGCAGGAACUAAGAUUAAGGUCAGAGUGCUGGACUGGCUUAAAGAUGAGUUCUGUAUUGAUCCUGAUCAUUCCUACAGCUGGUCUGAAGAAGAGAUUGCAGAGCUUCACGAUUUCACCACUGUGAUCCUAGCUGCUGAUGUAUUUUAUGACGAUGAUCUAACAGAUGCCUUUUUCAAAACGCUGUAUCGAAUCACUGGGAACUUGAAAAACUCCUCCACCAUCUACUUGUCAAUAGAAAAGAGGCUCAACUUCACCUUAAGACACAUGGAUGUUGUAUGUGAAGCAUACAAUUACUUUCGAAGCACCUUGAAUGAUCUAGAAAAUAUCAGAGAUGGCAAAAUGAGAUAUACUGUUCAGCCUGUCCAACUCUCCUUUCCUCAACAUAUUAUUUAUGAGCGGGUUGAACAAUUGGAGUUAUGGAAGAUUACAGCUGACAUGACCACUGAAAGAAGCACACACACACACACACACCUCCCUGAGAGAUUGAAAACCGGACAUGGGGACUUCAGUACAGAAUAAUUUCCCUGUAGGGUUCUGUCUGAAAUAAUUAUCUGAAUGGAGCCGGGACCCAAACAGAUCCUGGCGUGGAGAAGUCCAAGAAGUUCCAGUCCCUAGGUACCAGUCAACCUGCUCAUCUCAUUUCUGAGAAUUCGCUGCUCAUUACCUACCUUUGGAGACACUCAGCAUACUGAUUUCUAUGUCCAGGAACAAAUUCCUGUGCAGUGAAGCAGCCCGCCCUGGGCAGACAGACCACAGGGACUCUCCUUCACAGGAAUCCUGCUUCGGAGAAAUGGGGCUGUAAGUGAGCAGUACACUGUGGAGAAUCAAGAGGCUCGAUCCAUAUACCUUAGAGCCUGCCAGCAGAGUUGAAGACGAAAAACUGGUGAAGCGCCCUCAAGGGUUGGGAAAUCAGGAACUGGUAUGAACAACGUUGGACUUGUAAUGGUAGUGGAGCAGAAACCAGGUUCCAAUUCAAACUGAGCCAUGAAAUUUGGGCCAGUCAUUCUCUCUCAGACUAACCUACCUCACAGGGUGGUUGUGAAGAUAGUGUUGGCUGUGUGUGUGAGAGAGAGAGAAUGAUGUACAAUGCCUUGAACUCCUUUUAGCAAAGAGC